rnacentral:snoRNA from 1 species
GCAAGAUGAACUUCAGAUGACGAGUCUGACCCACCCGUACGAGGCUUCCUCGUGCGGGCGCAUGACGACUCCAAAUUUUAUACCAUUCAUGCUUUCCUGACU